GAACUGCGAUAAGUAAUGUGAAUUGCAGAAUUCAGUGAAUCAUCGAGUCUUUGAACGCACAUUGCGCCCCCUGGCAUUCCGGGGGGCAUGCCUGUCCGAGCGUCAUUGCUGCCCUUCAAGCCCGGCUUGUGUGUUGGGUCGUCGUCCCCUCCGGGGGACGGGCCCGAAAGGCAGCGGCGGCACCGCGUCCGGUCCUCGAGCGUAUGGGGCUUUGUCACCCGCUCGAUAAGGACCGGCCGGGCGCCAGCCGGCGUCUCAAACCUUUUUUUCUCAGGUUGACCUCGGAUCAGGUAGGGAUACCCGCUGAACUUAAGC
rnacentral:misc_RNA from 1 species